rnacentral:rRNA from 1 species
CCUCAGUAGCGGCGAGUGAAGAGGUAAAAGCCCAAGAUGUUAAUCUGUGUUAAAGACAUAGAAUUGUAAUCUAUGGAAUCAGUCAGAAAGCGGAAGCCUGCCAUAAGUCCCUUGGAACAGGGCGCCAGAGAGGGUGAAAGCCCCGUCUUCGGGUAGGAAGAAGCAAUAUGAAUGGUUUCUAAGAGUCGGGUAGUUUGGGAUUGCUGCCCUAAGUGGGAGAUAAACUUCUCCUAAGGCUAAAUAUUUAUAGGAGACCGAUAGCAUACAAGUACUGCGAAGGAAAGAUGAAAAGAACUUUGAAAAGAGGGUUAAAAGACUUGAAAUCGUUGAAAAGGAAGCAGUAAAAGAGAAAUUAUUUAUUGGUGAAUAAGGUUUUAGGCUAAGCUCUGUGGUGUGUAAUUCUUCAUAAGGUUGCUGCCAUUCUGCGAAAACUAACUCACUUUUUACUGGUAAUAGGCAAAAUGAGACUGAUUUAUAAAAAUAAGGUGAAGAGUGUAUUCUCUAGCUCGAAUUUAUAAGUCAAUCUGAGGGAUCUUAGGAUGAUUUUGUCAAAAUGGCUUUUACUGACCCGUCUUGAAACACGGACCAAGGAGUCUACCUAUUAUGCAAGUGUUGGGGUGGAAAAACCCGAACGCCAACCGAAAGGGAUUUAAGAUGUGAGGCGCAAGCUGCAACAUCAACCAAUCUUGAUUCUCUGAUGAAAGACUUGAGUAAGAGCAUAAUCGGUAGGACCCGAAAGAUGGUGAACUACGGUUGAGUAGGGUGAAGCCAGGGGAAACUCUGGUGGAGGCUCGAAGCGUUACUGACGUGCAAAUCGUUCGUCAAACUUGACUGUAGGGGCGAAAGACUAAUCGAACCAUCUAGUAGCUGGUUCCCUCUGAAAUUUCUCUCAGGAUAGCAGGAACAGAUAUAGCAGUUUUAUCAGGUAAAGCUAAUGAUUAGUGGAAUCGGGGGUCUCCGAUCCUUGACCAAUUCUCAAACUUUAAAUUGGUAAGAACCGAGAGUUAUCUUAAUUGAACUUUUGGGUAGAAUGCAUUGUUCUUAGUGGGCCAUUUUUGGUAAGCAGAACUGGCGAUGAGGGAUGAACCUAACGUUGAGAUAAGGUGCCAAAAUUCACGCUCAUCAGACACCAUAAAAGGCGUUGGUUAGUAUAAACAGCCGGACUGUGGCCAUGGAAGUCGGCACCAGCUAAGGAGUGUGUAACAACUCACCAGCCGAAUUAACCAGCCCUGAAAAUUGAUGGCGCUAAGCGUGAUACCGAUACUCAACCAUCAAGGCAAAUAGAAGCUUUGAUGAGUAAGAGGGCGUGAAGACUGUGUAGAAGGCUUGGAUGUGAAUCUGGCUGGAACAGUCUUUAGUGCAGAUCUUGGUGGUAGUAGCAAAUAUUCAAAUGAGAACUUUGAAGACCGAAGUGGAGAAGGGUUCCAUGAGAACAGCAUUUGAUCAUGGGUUACUCGAUCCUAAGACAUAGGGAAAUUCCUUGUAAUACAUUUACUCUUACGAGUAUGUAGUCAAAAGGGAAUGAGGUUCAUAUUCCUCAAGCUGGAUGUGGGAGCUAUGUGGUAACACAAACAAGCUCGGAGACAUCGGUAUGUGCAACUGGAAGAGUUCUCUUUUCUUCUUAACAGUCUAUCUCCCUGAAUGGAUUAUCCAGAGCUAGGGAUAUAUGGCUGGCAGAGCAGUUCUCUAUUGAAUUGUCAGUGAAGCUCAUAACGAUCCUUGAAAAUCCGAGU